rnacentral:rRNA from 1 species
GAUGAACGCUGGCGGCGUGCCUAAUACAUGCAAGUCGAGCGAACGGACGAGAAGCUUGCUUCUCUGAUGUUAGCGGCGGACGGGUGAGUAACACGUGGAUAACCUACCUAUAAGACUGGGAUAACUUCGGGAAACCGGAACUAAUACCGGAUGAUAUUUUGAACCGCAUGGUUCAAAAGUGAAAGACGGUCUUGCUGUCACUUAUAGAUGGAUCCGCGCUGCAUUAGCUAGUUGGUAAGGUAACGGCUUACCAAGGCAACGAUGCAUAGCCGACCUGAGAGGGUGAUCGGCCACACUGGAACUGAGACACGGUCCAGACUCCGACGGGAGGCAGCAGUAGGGAAUCUUCCGCAAUGGGCGAAAGCCUGACGGAGCAACGCCGCGUGAGUGAUGAAGGUCUUCGGAUCGUAAAACUCUGUUAUUAGGGAAGAACAUAUGUGUAAGUAACUGUGCACAUCUUGACGGUACCUAAUCAGAAAGCCACGGCUAACUACGUG